GGGGAUGUAGUUCAGUGGUAGAGUGCAUGCCUAGCAUGAGUAAGGGCCUGGUUUUCAUCCCCA
rnacentral:tRNA from 1 species